CUUCCGUGUUUUCGAAAGUAUGAAAGCUUCCGUACUUGUAAGUUGUUUUCGAUGAUAGGACAUUCAAUUCGAUGAUCGGCUCCGGUAGGCAUAAUCUAUGCUAUUGGAACUAUUUAGAAACUAAAUUUUAUAAUUUUUCGACAUCAUUUACCAAGCGAUCACAGGGUUUCAAAAAUGACUAUUUUAACGGCCGAUGUGGCACGUUUUUAAGUUCAACGGUGUAGAAGUAUCCAAAUUAUAUGAAACUUUAAUAGAAAAUUCUACUUAACAUCAAGAGUAAGAACAAUACUUCCGAUUUGAAAUUUGAGUCAUUUAUCACUGUUUUUCGUGAGCUUUUUAUUUUCAGCCGUUCAUUUUGAGGCUAUUCGUUCAUUAAGCAAAUGAAGUCAAAAAAUUAUGAAAUUUGGUUUCUAGCUAGUUCCAAUAGCGUAGAUCAUGUUUAACAGAACCGAUCGCCGAAUCAGAUGUCCCAUCAUUGGAAACAACUUACAAGUACGGAGGCCUCCGUACUUUCCAAAGCAUAUAUAUAUAUAUAUAUAUAUAUAUAUAUAUAUAGAGAGAGAGAGAGAGAGNNNNNNNNNNNNNNNNNNNNNNNNNCCUACGAAUGGUUAUGAUUAAUUUGUUAAAAAUAUCUCAAAUAAAAAUGAACGGUUAUGAUCAAACUAUUAAAUCUCUACAAUAAAAUAAUAUUCCCUACGAAUAGUUAUGAUUAAUUUGUUAAAAAUAUCUCAAAUAAAAACGAAUGGUUAUGAUCAAUCUAUUAAAUCUCUACUAUAUAUAAAAAUCUAUUCCCUACAAAUGGUUAUGAUCAAUUUGUUAAAAAAAUAUCUCAAGUAAGAAUAGUUAUGAUCAAUCUAUUAAAAAUUAGUAUCCCUAUCCAUUUAUUAAUUCAAUCCUACGAACCGUUAUAAUCAAUUUGUUAAAAAAUAUCUCAAAUAAAAACAAACGGUUAUGAUCAAUUUAUUAAAAAAUAGCAUUUUUAUUCAUCUAUUUUACAUUAAAAUUAAAAUUUGAGUUUAAAUUAUGAAUUAAAUAUAAUUUUGGAUAUCAAAUUUGAAUUAACAAUUAAUUUUUUUAUUACAGUGGAUUAAAAUUAAAUUUUAAAUUUUAAAAUAAAUGUGAAUUAAAUUUUGAUAUUUUUAGUUUAAAAUAUAUAUUUAAAUUUGAUUCAUCAAAAAUUAAAAAGUAUAUAAAAAUGUUCGAUGUAUAUAGAAAAAAGAAUACGGUAGGAUAUGAAUAUUUUUUAAUAAAAUGUAACAUAUUAAUUUAUAAAUAUAAUUUUUAUUGUAAAAUUUUGGAUAUAUAUAAUGUACAAAUUUAUAUUGAUUUGAAAUAAAUUAUAAUAAUUGUUACGUGUUUUUGCACGUACAUUCAACUAUUAUUUUAUUAUAUAUAAAAGCAUACAGAAAUUCCGACAAUGACAGACGGAUUCCUUUUAAUAUAGGAAUUUCGAUAAUGACAGACGAAAUCCAAAAAGGAAUGAAAUAAUAUUCCCUACGAAUGGUUAUGAUUAAUUUGUUAAAAAUAUCUCAAAUAAAAAUGAACGGUUAUGAUCAAACUAUUAAAUCUCUACAAUAAAAUAAUAUUCCCUACGAAUAGUUAUGAUUAAUUUGUUAAAAAUAUCUCAAAUAAAAAUGAACGGUUAUGAUCAAACUAUUAAAUCUCUACAAUAAAAUAAUAUUCCCUACGAAUAGUUAUGAUUAAUUUGUUAAAAAUAUCUCAAAUAAAAACGAAUGGUUAUGAUCAAUCUAUUAAAUCUCUACUAUAUAUAAAAAUCUAUUCCGUAUAAAUGGUUAUAAUCAAUUUG
rnacentral:lncRNA from 1 species